GACGAACGCUGGCGGCGUGCUUAACACAUGCAAGUCGAACGAAGUGGCGAACGGGUGAGUAACGCGUAAUCAACUUGCCCUUCAGAGGGGAACAACAGUUGGAAACGACUGCUAAUACCGCAUACUGAAGGAGGGGAUUGAGUUGGAUUAGCUAGUUGGAGGGGUACCGGCCAACCAAGGCGAUGCUCAGUAGCCGGUCUGAGAUGAUGAACGGCCACAUUGGGACUGAGACACGGCCCAGACCCCUACGGGAGGCAGCAGUGGGGAAUCUGCCGCAAUGGACGAAAGUCUGACGGAGCAACGCCGCGUGAGUGAUGACGGCCUUCGGGUUGUAAAGCUCUGUUAAUCGGGACGCGGUACCGGAAUAGAAAGCCACGGCUAACUACGUGCCAGCAGCCGCGGUAAUUC
rnacentral:rRNA from 1 species